rnacentral:rRNA from 1 species
GCGAGAUUAAAACUCAAAGGAAUAGACGGGGACCCGCACAAGUGGUGGAGCAUGUGGUUUAAUUCGAAGAUACGCGAAGAACCUUACCUAGCCUUGACAUUGAUAGAAUCUUCCAGAGAUGGAGGAGUGCCUUUCGGGGAACUUGAAAACAGGUGCUGCACGGCUGUCGUCAGCUCGUGUCGUGAGAUGUUGGGUUAAGUCCCGCAACGAGCGCAACCCUCGUCACUAGUUACUAACAGUUAGGCUGAGGACUCUAGUGAGACUGCCUUCGUAAGGAGGAGGAAGGUGAGGACGACGUCAAGUCAUCAUGGCCCUUACGGCUAGGGCAACACACGUGCUACAAUGGUUAGGACAGUGAGAAGCGAUACCGCGAGGUGGAGCCAAUCUAUAAACCUAAUCUCAGUUCGGAUUGUAGUCUGCAACUCGACUACAUGAAGCUGGAAUCACUAGUAAUCGUAGAUCAGCCAUGCUACGGUGAAUACGUUCCCGGGUCUUGUACUCACCGCCCGUCACACCAUGGGAGUUGAUUUCACCCGAAGCGGGGAAGCUAAACUGGCUACCCUCCACGGUGGAAUUAGCGACUGGGGUGAAGUCGUAACAAGGUA